GGAGCCCACCCGCCCGCCGUGAAUAAAUCCACGAGUAAAAAUCUUGGGCUUUCAACGCCGCCCGCCAGGCAGCACUAAAGGCGGCUUUGUAGCCCUGAGAAGGUUGAUUUUGGACCUGUGUUGUAACCUUAUUUCCUUCUCCUUUUGUUCCUGGCUUGGGAGCCUAUGUGAUCUCUGGACCUAGCUCAUCAUUUUGCCUUCUCUGGGACUAUUGGAGAGCCCUGUUACCAGACUACCAACUUUCCAUAGUGGACAAAUAAUGAAUGCCGAAAACCAGUGAAAUCAUCAAGGCUGAGGCUCAUCCCUCAGAAGGAUACUGGGAGGAACGUGAAUGUCAGAGAACAGCAUGACAAGCCAUAACAAUCACAAGACCAAAUGUGUAGCCUCUGUGAUGCAAAUUAUAUUUAACCAGUUCUGGGGACUGAAUGUGGAUUGGUGCUUUGCAAAAAGACCUGAAGAGAGCUGAGGUCUGUGGUAGUCUUGAAAGACGUUGACUUAUGUCUUCUCUUACUAAGAAAGAGAUUGCUACCAUUCUGGAUAGCAUUAUUGUUCCAAGCGUGUGUGGGCUUGGACCCUAGCAGGCUGUAAUCGUGGUCAAGAUUAGACAACCCGUGUUAGACACACAGCACCUGAAGGAACACAGACCUAAGCUGCAAAUACUAGAACAGAUCAGUGAAGAAUCAACCAAGAAUUUUCCUGACCAAGUUUUUUAAAGGAUAAACUACUAAAUAUAUAAUAUCUAUGCUGUAAGCAAAAUCUAAUUUCUGUUUUGCAUAGACUGUUUUGUGAUGUCUUAGAAGAAGAAAGUCCUCAGCUCUAACUCCUGGUGCACAGCCAGACUCAAACUUCCUUAAAAGCAAAUGUGAGAUCUUUGUUUCAGCUUUGACCAGCAGAUGGGUCUGAGUUUACAAAGUUAAUUUAAGUCAGUUUGGAUUCCAUAUUCUUAUUUGGUUUCAUUACUCUAUUGCUAAUUAUAAUCAAUUAUAAAUAGGAGCUUUCUAGGACUUGAUUUAGAUCUACAGGUUUGGGGUUUUUUUUCCACAUUGUUUUUCUUAGUGAAGAUGGUAAAAGCAUGCUAGUUUUUCUCAUUCCACUUCUUCACUGAAGCUUCUUAAGAAAAUGAGAUACAAUAAAUCCAUUUAGGAUUAUGUUGAAAAAGCAUUUCUGCUUUUAAUAUUAGCCAGAUUUUUACUGCUAAGUUUUGCUGGCAAAUCUCUGAAAGUUUCAGCUUGCAACUUAUCUGGAUCACUUAAAUCUACAACACUGGCUUUGCAGACUUGCAAGAACAUCUGUUUUGAUUUCCAAUGCUAUCUUUUUUAGUCCUAGAACACUCUUCUUUAGUGUGAGUGAGAUUUUUUCAGAAUCUUAAAGGGCCUUAAGUUUUAACUCCAAAACAUAAUGAUUAUCAGGAGGAAGUAUCUCAGUGUAAUGUUUCUUGUGCUAGUACUUUCACUGAAUAUAGUGUGUAAAUGGAUAAAGAAAUAGCUGGAUGUUCAAGUCACACUUUUCUAUGGCUUUAGUGAAACCUGGCAAUACAGUAGCAUUAUGCACUACAUCUCUUAUUAUGCUCUUAUUGAAGCGUAGUUUAUGUUUAUAUAUCUUUAUAUAUAUAUCUUUAUAUGUUGUAAAGAAUUACUUAAACAAGUAGUGGCUAUUAAUGGGUUUAGUAGCAUGCUGCUGCUUUUCUUUGGUGGUAAAUGGAAGCACUUGGUGGGGAAGUAUUGGUCUGAAACUGAAUUUACAAAAAUUGUUCAAAAUUAAAUGCCUGAAAAAAGCCAAUGUAUUGCAACCAAUGACUAUCAUGUAGAGAAAGGACUAGUUAGAUAUCUGUUCCUUAAAUUGAUUCUGCUUUAUAAAUGCAAGAAUUAAUAAUGGUGUUGUGUACAUCUGCAAAUGGAAACCAAAACAGGUUAUGAUUUGAUAGCUCUGGUUAUCACUAGAACUUGGAACAAGUGCUCCAACUGAAAAAACAGCUCAUUAGCUCCUAACUUGUGCUCUCACAAGCUUCAUAGCUUAGCAGAAAAAAAAUUGAUUACCUGGCAUUCAAGAUCAGUUCCAAAUAACUAUUCCUUAAAUAUGCUAUUUUAUACUUCAAAUAAUCUGUAUACAUUAAUUUCUUAAUUUCUUAAUUUCUUAGUCCGUGUAUGUACAGAUAAUGUCACUCUAUUGGCUAAAACCUUUAUCCUAUGAUAGAUAUCUCUUGUAUAUUAACAAAAAUACCAUACUAUUGUAUCAAAUUGUUUACCAAAAUAAAUCUGUCAUUUUUUCUAUACACACUCCCACCUAAAAAAACAAUGGUGUUUUUAUUCCAUAGUUUAUACCAGACUGAUAUGUAGUGCCCUAAAUCUCAAAGGUAUUUAUGGAUAAAAAGCAAGUUAAUAUAUGCAUAGUUUUACUCGUACAUUUAAUAACAAAGCUUCUAAUUAAAUUCUAAUUGAAUUUGACUUGUCAUACUUACACUGUUAGAU